GACGAACGCUGGCGGCGUGCCUAAUACAUGCAAGUAGAACGCAGUUGCGAACGGGUGAGUAACGCGUAUGUACCUGCCUCAUAGCGGGGUAUAACUAUUGGAAACGAUAGCUAAUACCGCAUACUGUGAGAUGGACUUGCGUUGUAUUAGCUAGUUGGUGAGGUAAAGGCUCACCAAGGCGACGAUACAAAGCCGACCUGAGAGGGUGAUCGGCCACACUGGGACUGAGACACGGCCCAGACUCCUACGGGAGGCAGCAGUAGGGAAUCUUCGGCAAUGGACGGAAGUCUGACCGAGCAACGCCGCGUGAGUGAAGAAGGUUUUCGGAUCGUAAAGCUCUGUUGUUAGAGAAGCGGUAUCUAACCAGAAAGGGACGGCUAACUACGUGCCAGCAGCCGCGGUAAUUC
rnacentral:rRNA from 1 species